AGAUAGGUGGGGGCCAAAGCACUUUACUGCAGGGGCAGUGGGGGAGGAGAAGACUUUAAAUUAUUCACUUAAAUAAAAAGGAGGGAGGGGCAUGGGAGGGGGAACCCCAUCCCACCAGCCUGUCCCCUCGUCCAUCGGUCCCUCGGCUGUCCCUCGGUGGCGGCUACACAGGCAUGGGCAUCUCAUUGUACUCGUCCACACCCUCCCGCUCAUCAAACACCGGCUCUGCCUCGUUAGCAUCCAGCUGUGUGUGGGGAGGUGGCGGUCAAGAAGGGAAGUGGGGGGGCCUUUCCAGAUCCACAGGGAGGCAAGAGGAACCGGGGGAGGCAGACGGGAGGGCUUACACAUUUCAUCUCUCGGUCGGUGAAGAUACGGGUGAGCACCACCAUGCGGAGCGGCACUGUGAGGAUGAGGAUGAAGGGGAAGGCCAGGGAGGCAGCUGUGGACAUGACGGCCCAGAGCAGGGCCAGGCAGAGCAGCUGCAGGGCCGUGAACAGGUGCAUACGGAGGGUCCGGACCUGGGGGGCGGAGACAGGUGCCACAGCCUUGCUCAUGACAGUGAGCGCGUUGGCGUGAGUGACAGAGCGGACAGUGGCAGCAGCCAACCAGGGCAGGCCAAAGAGGGCACAGAUGCCGCCCAUGGCCACGAUGAGCAGCAGGUCCAGGUGGAAGCCGGAGCCCUUCUGCAGCAUGCGCUCCUUCUUGGAGAUGAUGAGCCUGAGAGCGGGAGGGGUGCUGCUGAGGCCCAGGCUGGACUCAGCUCCGCAGACCACAGGGUCUUUCCAGAAUGCCCAGCCAGUCCCUCCAUCUGGCUUUGGAACCUGGCGGUCCCUGUCCAUUCCGUCAGGAUUCAAAUUCCGUUACAGAGCAAAACCUGGGCCCCCAGCCCUUAUCGUCCAUGACAGCUCCCAGCUAGCACUGCCAGGGUGGCCUGCCCCUCCACGUGCUGUUCCUGUCCCAGCAAACAUCGGGGUUUUUCUGCUGUCUACAGAAUAAACUGUGGCCAUCUGGGCAUCCAAGGUUCCCUGAGGUCCCUGGGAUUGCCCAGUGUGGCUGGAGGUUCCAUGCUGAGUUCCCCAGCCUGGCCUGGGGCUCUGGCCUCUCACACCCCUUUGGCUAGGACCACUCACGUGGUGAUCUGUGUCUCCAUGAAGAUGAGAAUGAAGACCAGGAUGGCGGGCAGCAGGCUGGCAACCAUCAUCCACACAGGGAAGGGGCUCUUCUCUCCCA
ensembl:lncRNA novel transcript